CACGUAGGGCGCAAGCGUUUGUCCGGAAUUAUUGGGCGUAAAGAGCUUGUAGGUGGUUUGUCGCGUUGUUCGUGAAAUCUCACGGCUUAACUGUGAGCGUGCGGGCGAUACGGGCAGACUAGAGUACUGCAGGGGAGACUGGAAUUCCUGGUGUAGCGGUGGAAUGCGCAGAUAUCAGGAGGAACACCGGUGGCGAAGGCGGGUCUCUGGGCAGUGACUGACGCUGA
rnacentral:rRNA from 1 species